UGGCAGGGACCUCACCAACCACCCUGUGCACCACGGCCCACUUUGAAAACACACAGGAGACAGCACAACUUGGUGCCGCUGUCCUGAAGCCCUGCUAGUAAAAGUCACUCCCACGCACCUUAUUGAGAUAGCUACUCAACUUGGUAACCCCAGAGCCGCAGUGGGAGCACAAUACAUAGUCUCGAGGACCCCUGGGAGACAAGAGGCCCACGGAGCAGAUUUGGAGUAUCUCCUGCUGCUUGCCUGAAGGGUGGACAGCAUCCACCCCACUGUGAGCCUUGCACCAGCCUGAAUCUCCUGUGAAUGUAAAGUGCACUGUUGAGCUGUGGUGAAGAGGACCAUUCAUAACGAGGACUGGCCAUGAACGAGGGGACAAACAGCAGCUACAUUCUGAAGGCAGGCCAUCCUGUCCAUGAGACUGGUGGAUACAGGCUUAGUCACCUGCUGCUGAAAAGAACACCAUCCGCUGCUGUGCCCACAGAAGGAACUUGGCAAGAAUGUGUUUCCUGAGAAAUCCCGACAACAAAGACUGACCAAGCACCUCUAGCGUCCAGGCAGUGGCUUCUGAGUGUCAAGUGGACUAGCGCUCUCCUGACAUCAGCUGACUCAGUGCUGGGCAGGCCAGGGCAGGUGGAUCCCUAGGACUCACUGGUCAGCUAACUUAUCCCAGCGGGCAAGCCUCAGGUCUGAGUGACAGACCUAUAUCAAGAAACAAGGUGGACAGCUACCCUAAGGAACAACACCUACAGCUGACCUCUGGCCUCCAAACACAGAAUCACAGACUGAGAGUGGAUGCAGCAAGAAGCUCCACCACUGAGACCCCCUGACUGAGGACUGAACCUUCCUGCACGCCGGUUUAAGAGAAAAAUGAAAAUGUGUGAAAUUGGAGAACUGCUGAACUUCAGACAAAUGGUUUUUAAUCAUGUGUUGGUCCUGAAAGAUUUCUCUUAAGUCGUAAACCAGGCGUUGACUUGCUGCAGCUUUUUCUCUGCAUCUCUCAAUCCUGUACUGAAGUUAUCUCUGCUGUGUUCAUUUUGUGUCCUUAUUACCUCUCUCCUCCACUAGCAUUUGUUAGCUGUAUUCUCAGUUUUCACUCUGUCAUGUAUUUUAACAUUUACAUUUAGUUUCAUAAACAUUUUUCCCCAGUUGCUUAGUUCUGGGUCUGUGUUUACAUGACUUCAACAUUUCUGUUUAUAUUACACAACACUGGUGUUUGGAUUACAUUUUCUACAUUGCUAAAUUAAAAAAGAAAGUUAAAUCUCAUCAUUGGUUCUAUUUAUGUUUGAGGGUUUUUUUUUUUGUUGUUGUUUGUUUUAAUAAGAAGCACCAUAUGCAGCUUGUCUUGUGCGUCCUCAUAAUCAAUUUCCAGUUUCCUCUCUAUUUGAACUCCCUGGCCCUGACUCUCCUUUUCUUCCCCUUAAGACAUUCUGAUGCUGACUGCGAUUAGAUGCUACAGUGAACCCCCAAGCUGGCUUUUGUCUGUUAGGAAGGAUUUAUUUAAGACAGGCCUGUAAUCCUUAGUACUCAGGAGUCUGAGGUAAGAGAGUCAUGAGUUCAAGCCACCCUGGAUAACUUAG